rnacentral:rRNA from 1 species
GCAAGUCGAACGGCGGCACGGGUGCUUGCACCUGGUGGCGAGUGGCGAACGGGUGGGUAAUACAUCGGAACGUACCUUAUCGUGGGGGAUAACUCAGCGAACGAUGUGCUAAUACCGCAUACGCCCUGCGGGGGAAAGCGGGGGAACGAAAGACCUCGCGCGAUUAGAGCAGCCGACGCCUGAUUAGCUAGUUGGUGGGGUAAAAGCCCACCAAGGCGACGAUCAGUAGCUGGUCUGAGAGGACGAUC